GAGCGGCGAACGGGUGAGUAACACGUGAGUAACCUGCCCCUGACUCUGGGAUAAGCCUGGGAAACCGGGUCUAAUACCGGAUAUGACCGCCUCCGGCAUCGGAUGGUGGUGGAAAGAUUUUUUGGUUGGGGAUGGGCUCGCGGCCUAUCAGCUUGUUGGUGGGGUAGUGGCCUACCAAGGCGACGACGGGUAGCCGGCCUGAGAGGGCGACCGGCCACACUGGGACUGAGACACGGCCCAGACUCCUACGGGAGGCAGCAGUGGGGAAUAUUGCGCAAUGGGCGGAAGCCUGACGCAGCGACGCCGCGUGGGGGAUGACGGCCUUCGGGUUGUAAACCUCUUUCAGCAGGGACGAAGGUGACGUGUACCUGCAGAAGAAGCGCCGGCUAACUACGUGCCAGCAGCCGCGGUAAUACGUAGGGCGCAAGCGUUGUCCGGAAUUAUUGGGCGUAAAGAGCUCGUAGGUGGCUGGUCGCGUCUGCCGUGAAAGCCCGCAGCUUAACUGCGGGUCUGCGGUGGAUACGGGCCGGCUAGAGGUAGGUAGGGGCAAGUGGAAUUCCU
rnacentral:rRNA from 1 species